UAGGGAAUCUUCCACAAUGGGCGAAAGCCUGAUGGAGCAACGCCGCGUGUGUGAUGAAGGGUUUCGGCUCGUAAAACACUGUUGUAAGAGAAGAAUGACAUUGAGAGUAACUGCUCAAUGUGUGACGGUAUCUUACCAGAAAGGAACGGCUAAAUACGNGCCAG
rnacentral:rRNA from 1 species